rnacentral:rRNA from 1 species
GAAUAUUGGACAAUGGGUGAGAGCCUGAUCCAGCCAUGCCGCGUGCAGGAAGAAGGCCUUCUGGGUUGUAAACUGCUUUUAUCUGGGGAUAAAAAGGCCUUGCGAGGCAAACUGAAGGUACCAGAUGAAUAAGCCACGGCUACCUACGUUCCAGCCGCCGCGGUAAUACGUAGGUGGCAAGCGUUGUCCGGAUUUAUUGGGUUUAAAGGGUGCGUAGGCGGUUUAUUAAGGCAGUGGUGAAAGACGAUAGCUUAACUAUCGAGGUGCCAUUGAUACUGAUGAACUUGAGUGCACACGAGGUAAGCGGAAUGGACGGUGUAGCGGUGAAAUGCAUAGAUAUCGUCCAGAACACCGAUAGUGAAGACAGCUUACCAGAGUGCAACUGACGCUGAGGCACGAAAGUGUGGGGAUCAAACAGG